AACGCACAUUGCGCCCGCUAGUAUUCUGGCGGGCAUGCCUGUUCGAGCGUCAUUUCAACCCUCAAGCCCCCGGGCUUGGUGUUGGGGAUCGGCGAGCCUCCGCGCCCGCCGUCCCCUAAAUCUAGUGGCGGUCUCGCUGUAGCUUCCUCUGCGUAGUAGCACACCUCGCACUGGGAAACAGCGCGGCCACGCCGUUAAACACCCAACUUCUGAAAGUUUGACCUCGGAUCAGGUAGGAAUACCCGCUGAACUUAA
rnacentral:misc_RNA from 3 species